GAGCUUGAUCCACUUCUUCUCGGGGUAUUUACGGGAGAGAAGCCAUACGGGGACUGGGGCGAGGAGGCCGAUGAGGAAGAAGUAGUUCAUGGAAGAGUAGAGGCCAAGGCGGCCGAACAUUCGGAGCGGGCCAGCGACUCCCCAGAUGAUGGAUGCGCUAUAGAAGACAUCAUAGCCGGGGCAAGUCCAUGGGCUGCCGACGGGUAGUUUAUCGAUCUCGCAUAUAUACUCGAUGCUCGUGAGAAGCCACCAUGCUGUCCCGAAGUAGACAAAGGAUGCCACUAUAGUCCCCACCAACUGGGCAAUG
rnacentral:misc_RNA from 1 species